AUAAGAUGGCUGAGAUUGAAGGCGUUAGAUUGUAAAUCUAAGUAGAAGUUAUACUUUCUUAUUAG
rnacentral:tRNA from 1 species